AUUGAACGCUGGCGGCAGGCCUAACACAUGCAAGUCGAGCGGAUGAACGGAGCUUGCUCCUGGAUUCAGCGGCGGACGGGUGAGUAAUGCCUAGGAAUCUGCCUGGUCUUGGAGGAUAACGUCCGGUAACGGGCGCUAAUCCCGCAUACGUCCUUAUGGUGAAAGUGGGGGAUCUUCAGACCUCACGCUAUCUGCUGAGCCUAGGUCGGAUUAGCUAGUUGGUGGGGUAAAGGCCUACCAAGGCGACGAUCCGUAGCUGGUCUGAGAGGAUGAUCAGCCACACUGGAACUGAGACACGGUCCAGACUCCUACGGGAGGCAGCAGUGGGGAAUAUUGGGCAAUGGGCGAAAGCCUGAUCCAGCAAUGCCGCGUGUGUGAAGAAGGUCUUCGGAUUGUAAAGCACUGUUAGUAGGGAGGAAGAGAAGUAAGAUAAUACAUGGAUGUCUUGACGGUACCAACAGAAUAAGCACCGGCUAACUUCGUG
rnacentral:rRNA from 1 species